UGGGAAGUUCUCUAAAUACUCCAUUCUCAGACUAUCAAAGCUCUGAGAGUAUUUUCUUGUCUCACAGGGAUAAAUUCCAUUAACUACAGCAAAGUGCUUAGCUAUUAUAUUCAAGGGGAUUGUACACAAUGGGCAUAAAGACCAGGGCUUUGGAAAAUACCUGAAGAAAUUGAGGUGUUUAAAUAUGUAGAACAAUUUACUUGGAAGCUAGGCACUUCUGAAAGUUCUUUUGAAAAUCCUCAUAUCUGCCUUUAUGCUUGAGAGAACACAAACAAGGUAAGAAUCAUGCAGGUGACCUUGGCAUUUACUUUCUGAGGAUAAGCUUUCCAGGAGCCCAGUAGAUGAUGUACGAGUAGGAAUCUGCCUUUCUUCAAACUGUCAUAUUCUUCAAUUAAUUUUAAAGUCUCUUGCAAAUGUUUAUGCAUGACAGUCACAAUUUUGGAUAUGACACUUCUGGAAAAUAAGAUUCAAGGCUUAAGGUUCACUUGCAGCAAAAGUCCUGUGCUUUGCAAGACUAACCACCCCAACCAAACUGAUGCUGAAACACUGGUCUGCUCCUUACAAAUUUAAGUCAUUCUCAAGCUGAAGAGCAUGAACCAUAUAAGCUUUAUUUGAUUUAUAACACAAACACUACAUUGACUUAUUUGAGGAAUCAAAAUAUAAAACUCUGCAAAAACAUACACUUUGAUUUAUGUGUGGAAGAGGCAAUGAGAAUCUCAGUCUUUGGAGAAUGGCCACAGAGAAUGACAAAUAAUACUGACCAUAAUGAUUGCAGGCCUGGAUUUAUUACUUUUGCUUAUUAUAAUGUACCAUGUAAUUUACUUGUACAGUAUAACUGUUUGGUUGAAAUAAGUAUAUUGUAUUCAGUGCAUGGCAGUCAUAUUAUAAUGGAAUAUUUUGGAUUCUCAAUGAUCCAGUUAUUCAUACAUCCAAUUCUGUGACAUUAGAGUAGAUUUAAUGGUUAGAGGAAAUGCUCUUUUCUAUUUCUACUGUAAGUUGUAUGCAUAAAUUUAUGAGUUCAUUUUCUAGCAAUAUUCUGAUCUCAAAACUCCUUAUACUAUUUUUAUUGCUUUUAAAAUAUUUUCUCUAUAUCUGAUCACCAACAUAUUUUACACAUUUGAAGAAGUGUUGUUUCAGCACAACAGACAACUCAAGAUCCACAUGUAUACCAAACCCUUAUUCUGCUGUUGUAUUUUAAGUGUUGGGACUUAGAGAUGUUGAGCAAUGAGAAAACAGUCUCUUCACCUUCAAAAAGUACAACUCAACUCAUAUCCCAGUCCUUGAUAGGUGUGCUGUACCUCUGCAUUAGCUGAUAUAGAGGCAAAUUUAUCAUGUAAAGAAUUCCAACCUCUUAAUUUAAUUUAGAUAUGUAUUGGUGAAAUGAAGAACCUAAUUCUAUCUGAAUUUGAACAAGAAGAUGCCAGUGAAUUAAAUUACAUUAUGCUGCUUGCUAUAAACUGGAAAAUCUUAUCUAAUCUUAUAUAAAUGUCUUUUUUUCCCCAGGAAUCCUUCAAACUGCAGAAGGGGUACUUCAUUUCCACCUUCACUUUUUACUCUUCAUAUAAAACCUUAAUUUUGGGGGCUGUUCUAGAGAAAAAUGUCUGUGAGAAUCAGAUGUUUUAGCAUAAAUUUGUCAUGGGCCAUUUUCUUUGUGUAUUAUUAACAUGAACAUGAUUUAAAUAAAGCCUGUCAGACCUGUAGAGUCUAAGUGAGGAUAACAAAGGAGACAACAAAACCUCAAAAGGUAAAAGAACUUUUCAGAAUAUGUUCUAUGACAGAAGAAGUUUUCUUAAUCCUUCAUUGACAAAUCUCAUUUGUUUUAUACACUUCUGAAUCUUAAAUAUGCCCUAGAAUAAAUAUAACAAGUUUAACAAUAUCUGAACGUAAAGAAUUCAAUUUGUUCAUUGCUCUUUUGAGUACUUCUUUAUUUUCUCCUGCUAUUUUGAGUACUAUGAAGAUCUUCAUUUGUGUCACAGUGAAACUGCAUAUAUUGGUGGUAGUGUCAGUGUUCCUACUACUAUUAAUAUUAUUCUUAUUACUAUUGUUAUUGCUAUUUAUAAAUCUACCCCCAACAAUCAUCUUUCUGUUAUCUUAAAGCUUAAUGAACCGCACAUCAAUUCAUCAAAAAUUUUCAGUUGUGUUUUUGUUUAAUUCUGCAGAAGUAAAAAGUCAGGGAGAGAUAUCUUUGCUAAGAGUGUCGGUGGUCAAGAAUCAAGGAAAGAUGCAAGUUUCAUUUUUCCAUCCAGCAGAAAUGAAUUAAGCUCCUAUUGCUUCUCUUCAAAGUAGUUACCAGUUCACAUAUCUAUUCUGACAUGGCAGCAACAGGUCUUGUACCCAUAAUAAAAAUAUAGCCUCUGCCUGAUAGAGACUUGUUUUCAGAACACUGUUUGGUUGAAGUUCUAUCACAAUUUCAUGUCAUUUGCUUCACCUUGUUCUGCUGCAGUUAUAUAAAAUAUUUGCAUAAAAAUACUGUAAUGUUAUGCUUGGGACAUAGUAGGUAACAAAUGCAUGCUCUGAUCCCUUUUGGUAUUUAUGUAAAUGGAGUAAAACAAGAAUAAAAGGUAAUCAUAAGAUUUAACCAUAAAAUUCUGCCAUUUCAAGUAGGAGGAGCUCUGCCAUAAAAAACUGGGAAUUGAAUUCAAGGCUCUCACAGCAUAAGAAAAUGGUUAGUUGUUGGAUUCUUAAGGGGUUCAGUAAUGAUCCAAGCUGUCAGAGAUAUUGUGUAUUUAAAACUGAAUGGUUCCAUUAACUUUGAUUGAACUUUUUCUCUACUGUGUUAUUCUUUUCUUGUCUGUAAAAGAAGCCAUCAAUGUCACUGGGAAGCUUUCUGAGCUCUCAUAACUCAGACCUCGCUGACAAUUGACUCUUGGAAGCAAAUAUGUCUGCAUGAAUUAAAUAUGUUUUGCUGUCAGUGGGCAUUAGAUAUGUUACCUGAUGUUUGAAACUAUGGAGGCACAAAUAGACAUCACAAGUCUGCAAACUGAAAAUUCAUCUGUAAAGUAGCUGUAUUUUCUGUCCAGAUGGAGAGCUGUCCCUUCACAACACCUUCUGGCAACUUGACCUGAUUGGAGCAGACAGCAACCUCCCAGCUCCCUUCUGAGUGACCUGGAAGUGGUCCAGGCUGCAUACUUGAAGGCUAGUAUUGCCAUCCACUAUACCCCCCAAAAUGGGACUGUUUCCCAAUUUAGAGCAAAUACGGGAGAAAAUACUGAAGACCAGAAUGGUGUCCAUGGUACCCAUGUGCUUGGCACACACCAGUGCUUGCUGCAGUAGCCAGUCAGCUACGUUCAUUUUACUGUAGAAUGUAUUAGCAAAGAGGGUAUAUAGCGCAGAGAUCAGUCAAGCUAGAAAACCUGAAAUCUUACAAACAUACAAUUAACAUUCUUCUUACUUAUGGAGUAAAUUUAAUGCUCAGUCUCUAUUUGUCUUUGCUACCAAACUGAACAAGCUAGUGGUUUUUCCAUGGUCCUGGGGACAAGUGACAUUGCAGAAAUAACAUCUAACAUAUAAGAAGUCUUUCUCCUAAAAGGGAGUCCAGAUCAGCUAUUAGAAACUGUGUCUGAAGUAUACCUUCCUCUAAGCCGGGCUAAAGUCUAGCUAAUGUGGGGCUAGAAUGAAGGUUGCCAUGAGUCAAAACUAUGCUACAGGUGUUCUAACAAUCUAACAACCUGGAUAGAAUUAAGCCAAUGCCCAAACCUCUUCCUCAAUCUGUUAUAUUUAUCAGGAUGAAUGUACCUCCAGAUCAUGCAUUCAAGUCAGUUUAGCACAAUUAAAAACUGAUUGCAAACCUGAUGCUUCUGUGUUGUUCUACACCCUACCAACUUUCCAGCAAGAUUUAGGAAACAAACCACUUUUAUCAUCUUUGUCGCAGAAGGUGCAUUGGGACUACAAAACAAGAAACUAAAAAACACAGAAUCAUUCAGGUUGGAAAAGACCAGCGAGGUCAUCAAGUACAGACAUCAACCCAAUCCCACCAUGCCCACUAACCUACGACCCUCAGAAAGAAAGACAUGGUGAGAUGUUGUUAUGUCCUUUUGACACUAAAUCCUCAGGACUGAGCACUGCUUAAGUUGUUAUUCUUUACAAGCUUCCCUGCUUACACAACUACAGCGAAGUGAAGCUAUAUCUGAAACUGCAUGCCUCCAGUGAGGCACCGGGUACACGUUUCAUUGUCUGGUCACGCAAGUGUGUCAUUUCUGAGGUGCGAGAGCUGGAAGGGACAAUACCAAUAAUCUGUUCUGACAUCCUUCAUUACAGAGAAAAUCAACCAUUGCCCUUUACUCCGGCAUUGUUGCUCUAAGGAACUUCUGCUCAAGCUAGAACAUAAUACUAGGAAAUAAUUCCUGUUAAAGACAUGGCCAAAAGGUUUUCUACACACUAGCAUUCUAUUGGUUGCAAUUGGAUUUUGCCUAGCUGUGGCUAAAAUUAAUUAGAAACAUUUUUCAGGUUUGUAUUUACAUACUUUUCU
ensembl:lncRNA